rnacentral:rRNA from 1 species
CAGCAGCCGCGGUAAAACGUAGGUGGCAAGCGUUGUCCGGAAUUAUUGGGCGUAAAGGGCUCGCAGGCGGUUUCUUAAGUCUGAUGUGAAAGCCCCCGGCUCAACCGGGGAGGGUCAUUGGAAACUGGGAAACUUGAGUGCAGAAGAGGAGAGUGGAAUUCCACGUGUAGCGGUGAAAUGCGUAGAGAUGUGGAGGAACACCAGUGGCGAAGGCGACUCUCUGGUCUGUAACUGACGCUGAGGAGCGAAAGCGUGGGGAGCGAACAGGAUUAGAUACCCCGGUAGUCCCUGUCUCUUAUAA